rnacentral:rRNA from 1 species
UGGGGAAUAUUGGGCAAUGGGGGAAACCCUGACCCAGCAACGCCGCGUGAAGGACGAAGGCCUUCGGGUUGUAAACUUCUUUGAUCAGGGACGAAAAAAAUGACGGUACCUGAAGAACAAGCCACGGCUAAAUACGUGCCAGCAGCCGCGGUAAUACGUAGGUGGCGAGCGUUAUCCGGAUUUACUGGGUGUAAAGGGCGUGCAGGCGGGUCCGCAAGUCGGGUGUGAAAUAUCCGGGCUUAACCCGGAAAGGUCAUUCGAAACUGCGGAUCUUGAGUACUGGAGAGGACAGUGGAAUUCCUGGUGUAGCGGUAAAAUGCGUAGAUAUCAGGAGGAACACCAGUGGCGAAGGCGGCUGUCUGGACAGUAACUGACGCUGAGGCGCGAAAGCGUGGGGAGCAAACAG